rnacentral:misc_RNA from 1 species
AUAAAUAGAAAUUUAAAAAUUCAAAUAGUAAAAUAAAAUACCUAAAUUAAAAUUGAAAGAUAAUUGAAAAAGAAAAAAAAGGAGUGGCAUGUCAAAAAAUUUUAAGAUAUAUAAUGUAAAAAUUAAAAAGAAAGUUUUUAUUUUUAACAAUAAAAUAAAAAAUUAAAAAUAAAAACACCAAAAAUAGAGAACCACAACAUGAUAAGAUGAUCAAUAUCCUUAGAACAGUGAAUUUCAUUUUAUUAAAAUAAAAUUAUUUUAAUGAAAAUAAU